CCAUAGAGUUUGCAGACUCUGACUCGACAGGGGAGCUGAAUACACAGGAAAUGUUGAGAAAUGUUGCUGCUUUCAGGAGCAUCAACAUGGCCCUCCAGACAAACUGGUUAAGCCCUGCAACUGGCUGAGCUUGUGGACAGGAGUCCCGUCCUCUUCUGCCUCACUGAUAUGAAAAUGGAAGGAAGUUUGCUGUGAUCUCUGGGCUUCAGUUUGAAAGACCCGGAACUGAGAAAACACAAAACUGAGUCAGAUCAUGAAGCAAUUCCUGGCACCUACCCUCUGCAGAACUUGACUCCCAUAGCUCCAGCCACCUUUCCAUGUGGUUCGCUGCUUGUCUGGAGUGAGCUGUCAGAGGUCUUGCUGAACACACUGUGUGGAGUGGUUCAGGUGUGUUGGGGGCCACAUCCCAGCAGACCCAAUUCUGUGAUCUUUUCUAGGUUCCCUUCUGUCUCAGCCUCAGGUAACUGUCCUGCUGAAUUACAAAUAAAUAAAUAAAAUUCCUCUUCUUCUUAGUUUGAGAUAAAGUUGGAAUUUUUCAAAGGGUAAUUUCAGUAAGAAACUGAGGUAAAGUAAUGAAAAAAAAACACUAAAGUAUUAAGAACCAGGGAUUUUUUUGGAUUACAGAUUUAUUACAGUAAAUGGGGGGGAGAUAUGCCUGAGAUUAUCUCAGAUGCACAGAUUUUAAGGCAUUCAGCCAUGGCUUUUUUUUCUUCUUCUUCAUCCUGCCAGAUUCAGAAAUACUUCUUAUGAUUCAGAAAUAGUUCUUAUGAUUUUCUUCUUUCUUUAAGCAGUGGUGUUCAUCUGGGAUGGUGGUUGGGAGGGGCAGUUUUAGCCCCCAGGGGACAUUUGACAAUGUCUGGAGACACUUUU